rnacentral:rRNA from 1 species
UACGGAGGAGGCAAGCGUUAUCCGGAAUUAUUGGGCGUAAAGCGUCCGUAGGUGGUCGUUUCAAUUCGGCUGUCAAAGACCGGGGCUUAACCCCAGAAAGGCGGUGGAAACUGAACAGCUAGAGAGAGGUAGGGGUAGAGGGAAUUCCCAGUGUAGCGGUGAAAUGCGUAGAUAUUGGGAAGAACAUCAGUGGCGAAAGCGCUCUACUGGACCUUAUCUGACAUUGAGGGACGAAAGCUAGGGGAGCGAAUGGG